AUUUCAGAUGACCUUUUGUUGAAAAUGUCAGUUAGAAGACUGCACUGAAUUUUUAAAGAGGGUAAUAAAUAACUGGGCUGAAUAAUGAAAGGUUUAAUUCUCAGGGAAGAACCAAAGUGAAGAUGCAGAGAGGCUGGGCUCUCGGCACUACACAUACUUUAAAACUUUGCUGAAUUAAUAAUAGCCAGUGUUGUGCCAGCACUUUUGGUGCUGGGUAUAAACAAAAGCAUGUAAUGACAUGAACAGGGCUAACAAUAAUGAAGGAAAUCUGUGGUGAACUAGCAGAGCUGAUAAAGAAGAGACCCUGUGGAGGCUGCUACCAGACCUUGUCCUAAAACCACUGCCUGCAGCAGGUGCCCCUCAUCUACACUCCAGCCCUGGAUGGGGAUGUCCACGUGGCCCUGGCAGUCAUGCAUUUUGGAAGAGAUAUACUUAGCCUUCUCCAUAAAUAAAUACAAAGCUGUGGCUGGCUGCCUGUGAAUGAUGUCUUUGCAACUGGCCUGGAAUGUCCUUGCAAUGUGAAAAAUUCUGAAGCACCAGCUAUGAUCAUUGUUGUUUGAAUAAACAAAUAAAUACACUGCUAAAACAUAGGUUAAGGAUAGGGAGUAGGACACGGUGACAUUCUGAAGGUGAAAGUGUCUGGAGGCUUUUUUGAACUGAGACCAUUUUGCACACAAAUAAUCCCUCUUAAAUGCA